GACGAACGCUGGCGGCGUGCUUAACACAUGCAAGUCGAACGGAAAGGCCCUGCUUGCAGGGUACUCGAGUGGCGAACGGGUGAGUAACACGUGGGUGAUCUGCCCUGCACUUCGGGAUAAGCCUGGGAAACUGGGUCUAAUACCGGAUAGGAGCCAUUUUUAGUGUGAUGGUUGGAAAGUUUUUUCGGUGUAGGAUGAGCUCGCGGCCUAUCAGCUUGUUGGUGGGGUAAUGGCCUACCAAGGCGGCGACGGGUAGCUGGCCUGAGAGGGUGGACGGCCACAUUGGGACUGAGAUACGGCCCAGACUCCUACGGGAGGCAGCAGUGGGGAAUAUUGCACAAUGGGGGCAAGCCUGAUGCAGCGACGCCGCGUGGGGGAUGACGGCCUUCGGGUUGUAAACUCCUUUCGCUAGGGACGAAGCUUUUGUGACGGUACCUAGAUAAGAAGCACCGGCUAACUACGUG
rnacentral:rRNA from 1 species